rnacentral:snoRNA from 1 species
GUGCUAUACAAAUAGUUGAAGGUUAAUUAGCAGUAUGACUAUAAAUAAUAAUGUUGCCAGUCUCUUUUAGACAAGA